CCGAGUUAGGGUCCUCUGGGCCCGAUCUCCCAACCCUUUGUUUAUUAUACCUUUUGUUGCUUCGGCGGGCCCGUUGUCUCACGACGACCGCCGGAGGACCGCUUAACGGCGUCCUCUGGUCCGCGCCCGCCGAUGGCCCCAAAAUCUCAAAAUUCUUGUAUGAAUCGUGUCUUUACCUAAGUCUUGAUUUAAUCAAAAACA
rnacentral:misc_RNA from 1 species